CUCCUGGAAAACGGGUGGUAAUGCCGGAUGCUCCAGUUGAUCGCAUGGUCUUCUGGGAAAGCUUUCGCGGUAUGGGAUGGGGUCGCGUCCUAUCAGCUUGACGGCGGGGUAACGGCCCACCGUGGCUUCGACGGGUAGCCGGCCUGAGAGGGCGACCGGCCACAUUGGGACUGAGAUACGGCCCAGACUCCUACGGGAGGCAGCAGUGGGGAAUAUUGCACAAUGGGCGCAAGCCUGAUGCAGCGACGCCGCGUGAGGGAUGGAGGCCUUCGGGUUGUAAACCUCUUUUAUCGGGGAGCAAGCGAGAGUGAGUUUACCCGUUGAAUAAGCACCGGCUAACUACGUGCCAGCAGCCGCGGUAAUACGUAGGGUGCAAGCGUUAUCCGGAAUUAUUGGGCGUAAAGGGCUCGUAGGCGGUUCGUCGCGUCCGGUGUGAAAGUCCAUCGCUUAACGGUGGAUCCGCGCCGGGUACGGGCGGGCUUGAGUGCGGUAGGGGAGACUGGAAUUCCCGGUGUAACGGUGGAAUGUGUAGAUAUCGGGAAAGAACACCA
rnacentral:rRNA from 1 species